UCUUACAGAUGAGCAAAGAAAGUGGUUUCUUGAGAUGGAAUCCACUCCUGGUGAAGAUGCUGUGAA
rnacentral:pre_miRNA from 1 species